GCGUUCAGGUCCCCAGCGGACAGCAGAGGAGGACGGUGCUGCGUCUGUCCCAGGACGUCAAGGGGAACUCCUUCAUCAAAGACCUGCGCUGGGUGCAGGCGAGCAGCUCCGAGGAGGCGUACAGAGUGAUGAAGAUCGGGAGGAAGAACCAGAGUUUCUCCUCCACGCGCCUCAACAGUCUGUCCAGCAGGAGCCACAGCAUCUUCUCCAUCAGAAUCCUGCGCAUCGAAGACGCCGGCGUUCCCAGAAUCCUCGGGAUCAGCGAG